CGUAGCCGCGGGAAAACCAGCACCUCGAGUGGUCAGGAGGUUUAUUGGGCCUAAAGCAUCCGUAGCCGGUUGCAUAAGUUUUCGGUUAAAUCUAUGCGCUUAACGUAUAGGCCGCCGAAAAUACUGUGCAGCUAGGGAGUGGGAGAGGUACACGGUACUCGAUAGGAAGGGGUAAAAUCCUUUGAUCUAUUGAUGACCACCUGUGGCGAAGGCGGUGUACCAGAACACGUUCGACGGUGAGGGAUGAAAGCUGGGGGAGCAAACCGGAUUAGAUACCCCAGUAGUCCCUGUCUCUUAUACA
rnacentral:rRNA from 1 species